CUGUGGCAAGGGCUGGGGAGGUCCAAUUUCUAAUCUGUGCUUUGUCCCAUCUCCACUGUUCCCCACCCCUAGGUUUUCGUAACACCCCAGGGCCUGUAAGGUUUGGUGUUUCCCUUUCAAGAUGCCACUUUCAGACUUUAUUCUGGCUCUGAAGGACAAUCCCUACUUUGGGGCUGGAUUUGGGCUGGUGGGUGUGGGCACAGCCCUGGCCCUGGCCCGGAAGGGUGUCCAACUGGGCCUGGUGGCAUUCCGGCGCCAUUACAUGAUCACACUGGAAGUCCCUGCUCGAGACAGGAGCUAUGCCUGGUUGCUUAGCUGGCUCACCCGCCACAGUACCCGUACUCAGCACCUCAGUGUCGAGACUUCGUACCUUCAGCAUGAGAGUGGCCGCAUUUCCACUAAGUUUGAAUUUGUCCCCAGCCCUGGAAACCAUUUUAUCUGGUAUCGGGGGAAAUGGAUUCGGGUAGAACGAAGUCGAGAGAUGCAGAUGAUAGACUUGCAGACGGGGACUCCUUGGGAAUCUGUCACCUUCACGGCCCUGGGCACUGAC
rnacentral:sRNA from 1 species